UACGUAGGGUGCGAGCGUUGUCCGGAAUUAUUGGGCGUAAAGGGCUCGUAGGCGGUCUGUCACGUCGGGAGUGAAAACACGGGGCUUAACCCGUGCCUGCUUCCGAUACGGGCAGACUAGAGGUAUGCAGGGGAGAACGGAAUUCCUGGUGUAGCGGUGGAAUGCGCAGAUAUCAGGAGGAACACCGAUGGCGAAGGCAGGCUCUGGGCCACUACUGACGCUGAGAAGCGAAAGCAUGGGGAGCGAACAGG
rnacentral:rRNA from 1 species